GGGAUGGACGUACCUCUGGUGUACCAGUUGUUCUGCCAAGGGCAUGGCUGGGUAGCUAUGUACGGAAUGGAUAAGCGCUGAAAGCAUCUAAGCGCGAAGCCAACUUCAAGAUAAGAUUUCCCACCGCAAGGGUAAGACCCCAGAAAGACUAUCUGGUUGAUAGGUCGAAGGUGUAAGUGCAGCAAUGUAUUUAGCUUAUCGAUACUAAUAGGUCGAGGACUUGACCAAU
rnacentral:rRNA from 1 species